GACGUACUUCCUGUUCGAGAGUGGAGCUCCACUCGCCCCAUAGGUCUGCAGCCAGACCCUUGUGGACAAAGCGGAAGUCGCGCCCAUAGUUCACGCAAGGUAUCAUGGGAGCUAGGAAUAAGGGAUAUCCACGGAACUGUGGGAACAGGAAGUGAGUUAAUGCAAUGGGAAAAUGGCGGCGCACUGUGAAAGACUUUCGAAUGGCUACUGAUAAAUAUUAAUCUAGCAGUUGCUUUAAUUUCAUACAGUAUGUGUAUAGAUAGCAGCUUGUUUUAGCGAGUUAGCUGGCUUAUGAUUCCAAAUUCCGACACUGAGAAAAAUGUGGAACAAUGUCAAAUAUUUUCGGUCAAAAGGAUUUAAUAAUAGAAUAACCAUUGGAAAUAAUGUAUGUACACCGAAAAGAUUCUGUUUUCGACGAUGGGUCAAGAGAAUUUUCUCCUACCAUAGUACAUGUAUGCUCAGACCGGACCUCCCCCAUUUUGGAUUGAAACGGGAGAGAACUGGACCCCCUUGGAAGAUUCUUUUCUUUGGCACUGACGACUUUGCUGUGGAAUCUCUUAAAAAACUAUCCGCUUCCAGACAUGGUUCCAGUGACAGACUUGUGGAGUCGCUUGAAGUUGUGACAUUAGACAAGGAGCUUCCUGUGAGGAAGUUUGCCAAUCAGAACAAACUUGUUGUGCACGACUGGCCACAUAUAUACCCACAUGGACAGUUCGACGUUGGUGUCGUGGUGUCAUUCGGCUGUCUGCUCAGAGAGGGUCUUAUCCGUCAGUUUCCGUUCGGGAUUCUGAAUGUCCACCCGAGCCUGCUACCACGAUGGCGUGGGCCGGCCCCGGUGUUUCACACCAUUCUGCACGGAGACGCUGUCACCGGAGUUACCAUAAUGCAAAUCAGGCCAAAGAGGUUUGACGUGGGCCCAAUCCUCAGUCAGGAAGUCUAUCAGGUUCCAGAACAUUGUACAGUGGAUCAGCUGGGUGCCACUUUGGCCACUAUGGGAGCUCAUUUGUUAAUUGACACUCUGAAAACACUUCCAGAGAAGAUAGCUAGCAGGAGAGAGCAAGCAAAGGAAGGUGCAACCUCAGCUCCUAAAAUUAACACUGUCAUGAGCUGGGUUGACUGGGAAGAGCAGACGUGUGAGCAGAUAGGUCGUCUUUUUCGUGCCAUUGGCUCACGGAUCCCAUUAAGAACCAUUUGGAUGGGAGAUACUGUAAAGCUUUUGGAAUUUUGUGGGGAGUUUAAUGAAUCAGUAUCAGGCCUACAGCUGGAAAUUUACUGAGGUUCUUCUGUGCGUAUUAGCAGAAAACGGCAGGGAGUGGUGAGGUCACCUCAUUUAAUUGGAGUCACGAACAGGAUAGGCUCGGGGCGGCCAAACGCUUGGAUGAAACUGCUGCUUCUCAGUACAACGGUGGCCACCAAAAAGAAAGUUUUGGAGACGGGAGCUGAGGAACGAGACAAUAUCUUGUGAUGAAAAGACUGCACUUGGGAUGAGGGCCAUAAACUAUGGCCCAAAAGGCAAACUUGUUUUGCCACGCGCUGCGUCUUUUUUUCCUCACCAAGUUGACGCAUGAUCAGGACCAUGUGUCAAAAGGGGGCAUGUAUAAUAUAAUGUAUAAUAUUGUAAAUAUUAAAAUGUGCUGAAAAUUUUCAGCAUAUUUUAGCUCUGUCUGUGGCUAAAGCACUGAUGAGAGGAAUCAUACCCAGGUGGAGCCUGCCCAUGGAGUUGAUAAGUGAUAAUAGCUUGGACUUUGUAAAUACAGUAAUACAGAGCAUUUCUGAAAGCCUUUAAAUUGGUCGCACAUGAUAAACACCCCUUUUUGCCAGACCAGGUAAAUGCUGACUGGACUGGAUGACAAGAUGGUACAGUAACCUCUCCACAGUAAUGGCCCUCUGCGGUGUGCAAAACACCUGGACUGAAGAAACACCACACUUACACUGACUACACACUCACAUGAAGACAGAAGCUGAAAUACAUUUACAGGAGCCAAGUGCUCCCUGACGUAUGGCAGAUAGUUAAUUACCCACACAGAGUUAGUUUAUGCACCUCUGCCAAAGAAGAAUUAUGACCAGCAACGGCUGAGUGAAGUGCUAGCAACCUCUCCUCUGUCCACUGGUCCAAUGACUCCGGUUCCAGACCAUGGGAAAAGAGAAGACAUUAAUCUGCUUAGCUGCUUGCGUAAUUUUAUAAUAAAGUCUGAUUAUAUUUUUUCCCACACUCAAAAUGUUAGUUCUGUUAAUAAACGUCCGUUAUCCCAAAUCCUCAGUGACGCUCAAAACAUGGAAAACCCAUAAAGUGGCUAUUAAGCAGGAAAAGAGAAACAAGAUGCACAUGUGCAGAAAAAUGAAAAACAAAAUGCAUAUACGGCCCAAGAUAACAGUGCAACUAUUUACAGCUUCUCUCUUUACACAUUCCACAUAAAUUUCCACGCACUUCACUGUCUUUCCCUUCUGUAUAUCUUCACACAAUAACAAUGUCCCACACACACAUUCAUACAAUAUCUUCACGCACACACACAAUAUACUACUGAGCCAAGUUUACAUUUAUGACUCACUACUUCACAGAGUCCCUACUCUGUUUUGUCGAUGUUAAGCCAAGGUAAACAUUUAUGGCUUUACAGGAUCCCUAUCCUGUUUUCCUGAUCAAAGGUAACAUUUAUUGAUCAGCCCACAGGAUUCCACAUGCCACCAAAUACUCACACACAAACUAAUCUUUGGUCUCUGGGUUGGAGUCUUCCUUUGGACACCAUCACCCCACCCCAAUGUGUUCCCUUCCAGUUGGCACCAGAAACACCGCUGAUCAUAAUGCAGAACUUUCAUAAAACAGGUGUCUGCUUACCUUGUCUUUUGAGAGCUCUCAUGAUCAGUUGGUUGUCUGGUACCGACAAAGUUGAGCGUUCCGCCGGGGAUAUUGGAAUCCCAUAUGGGUCGCCAAAAAAUGUAGGAGAAAAUUUCAUCUUGUCCCCUCUAUUCUACUUCACCUAUAAAAUCAAUUAAUGUUAAUAGAUUACAGUGGGUUCAAAAAUUAGGCAGAUGGAACACAACACUACACAAUAAUGACAGAGGCUACAAACUUUUUUUGUAGAUUUGCAGGAGACAGUCUCAUAGAUGCACGCUUGGCUGCAUCAGGGAGAGUAUCUCAAAAAACAUAAGGCACUAAGCAGUCUUUUGUAUAGCACUGAACAAAGAGCCCCAAUAUUUGCAAUGAACAUGAACAGAAAGUGCAGUCAUUGUCUCAAGCAGCUGCACUGGCGGAUGAGUUUAGUUUGACCCACAAGAAUGUGUUUAUGUCUGCUCGUGCCCCAACUCAGAGUGGUGAGAAAUCCCCCACAGUCACCAAACCUCAGAAUGGGAAGCAGAUCAGUUCUACUUCGUCAUGUUCCAACGCUGAGUGGAAGAGUUUUUACUCUCAUAGAGUAGGUCAUGUAAUUGCUGACUGUCUGGGUUUAAAAAGCAAACAGCAGCAACAACAGUCGGACCAUUCUAAGAGCGUGGGUCUGGUUAAGACCGUCUUUGGGCCUUCUAAAAGUCCAGUCAUUGUUGAAGCCACACCUGACCCUAGUUAUACUCCUUUCCUGUUAAAAGGGUUAGUGUCUGGCAGCCUGGAGGAGCAGAAACCCAUAAUCAUGCUGCGCGAUACUGGUGCAACGCAGUAAUUUAUUUGCUCCGAUACACUAGAUAUCACAGAUGAUACCUUCGUUGGGUCAUAUGUCCUUGUGCAGGGUAUUGAGAUGGGCUGUCUGAGGGUUCCGCUGCACACCAUCCACUUUCAGUCUAACCUUGUGAAUAGUUUUGUUAAAGU